rnacentral:tRNA from 1 species
GCCAGGAUGGCUCAGUUGGCAGAGCGGCGCACUCGUAAUGCGCAGGUCCCGGGUUCGAUUCCCGGUCCUGGCU